rnacentral:rRNA from 1 species
UACGUAGGGUGCGAGCGUUAAUCGGAAUUACUGGGCGUAAAGCGCGUGUAGGCGGUUAUCCAAGUCAGGUGUGAAAGCCUUGAGCUCAACUCAAGAAAUGCACUUGGUACUGGGUGACUAGAGGACCGGAGAGGAUAGUGGAAUUCCCAGUGUAGUGGUGAAAUACGUAGAGAUUGGGAAGAACACCAGUGGCGAAGGCGGCUAUCUGGACGGUUUCUGACGCUAAGACGCGAAAGCGUGGGGAGCAAACAGG